rnacentral:rRNA from 1 species
CAGCCGCCACGGUAAAACGAAGGGGGCUAGCGUUGCUCGGAAUGACUGGGCGUAAAGGGCGCGUAGGCGGCGAUCAAAGUCAGGCGUGAAAUUCCUGGGCUCAACCUGGGGGCUGCGUUUGAUACUUGAUUGCUAGAGUGGGGAAGAGGGUCGUGGAAUUCCCAGUGUAGAGGUGAAAUUCGUAGAUAUUGGGGAGAACACCGGUGGCGAAGGCGGCGACCUGGUCCUUGACUGACGCUGAGGCGCGAAAGCGUGGGGAGCAAACAGGAUUAGAUACCCCAGUAGUCCCUGUCUCUUAUAC